GUUAAUUGAUUAUGACGUGCUUGCACUGAAUGAGAUUUUAACACGAAGUGAGUGGCGGACGGGUGAGUAACACGUGGGUAACCUGCCCAGAAGCAGGGGAUAACACCUGGAAACAGAUGCUAAUACCGUAUAACAGAGAAAACCGCCUGGUUUUCUUUUAAAAGAUGGCUCUGCUAUCACUUCUGGAUGGACCCGCGGCGCAUUAGCUAGUUGGUGAGGUAACGGCUCACCAAGGCGAUGAUGCGUAGCCGACCUGAGAGGGUAAUCGGCCACAUUGGGACUGAGACACGGCCCAGACUCCUACGGGAGGCAGCAGUAGGGAAUCUUCCACAAUGGACGCAAGUCUGAUGGAGCAACGCCGCGUGAGUGAAGAAGGGUUUCGGCUCGUAAAGCUCUGUUGUUAAAGAAGAACGUGGGUGAGAGUAACUGUUCACCCAGUGACGGUAUUUAACCAGAAAGCCACGGCUAACUACGUGCCAGCAGCCGCGGUAAUACGUAGGUGGCAAGCGUUAUCCGGAUUUAUUGGGCGUAAAGCGAGCGCAGGCGGUCUUUUAAGUCUAAUGUGAAAGCCUUCGGCUCAACCGAAGAAGUGCAUUGGAAACUGGGAGACUUGAGUGCAGAAGAGGACAGUGGAACUCCAUGUGUAGCGGUGAAAUGCGUAGAUAUAUGGAAGAACACCAGUGGCGAAGGCGGCUGUCUGGUCUGUAACUGACGCUGAGGCUCGAAAGCAUGGGUAGCGAACAGGAUUAGAUACCCUGGUAGUCCAUGCCGUAAACGAUGAUUACUAAGUGUUGGAGGGUUUCCGCCCUUCAGUGCUGCAGCUAACGCAUUAAGUAAUCCGCCUGGGGAGUACGACCGCAAGGUUGAAACUCAAAAGAAUUGACGGGGGCCCGCACAAGCGGUGGAGCAUGUGGUUUAAUUCGAAGCUACGCGAAGAACCUUACCAGGUCUUGACAUCUUCUGCCAACCUAAGAGAUUAGGCGUUCCCUUCGGGGACAGAAUGACAGGUGGUGCAUGGUUGUCGUCAGCUCGUGUCGUGAGAUGUUGGGUUAAGUCCCGCAACGAGCGCAACCCUUAUUACUAGUUGCCAGCAUUCAGUUGGGCACUCUAGUGAGACUGCCGGUGACAAACCGGAGGAAGGUGGGGACGACGUCAAAUCAUCAUGCCCCUUAUGACCUGGGCUACACACGUGCUACAAUGGAUGGUACAACGAGUCGCGAAACCGCGAGGUUUAGCUAAUCUCUUAAAACCAUUCUCAGUUCGGACUGUAGGCUGCAACUCGCCUACACGAAGUCGGAAUCGCUAGUAAUCGCGGAUCAGCAUGCCGCGGUGAAUACGUUCCCGGGCCUUGUACACACCGCCCGUCACACCAUGAGAGUUUGUAACACCCAAAGCCGGUGGGGUANCCUUUUAGGAGCUAGCCGU
rnacentral:rRNA from 1 species